AUAUUGGACAAUGGGCGAAAGCCUGAUCCAGCCAUGCCGCGUGUGUGACGAAUGACUUCGGAUCUUAAAGCACUUUAAGUUGGGAGGAAGGGCUGUAGGUCAAUACCCCCCAAUUUCGACGAUACCAACAGAAUAAGCACCACCUACCUUCGUGCCAUCAGCCGCGGUAAUUCGUAGGGUGCAAGCGUUAAUCGGAAUUCCUGGGCGUAAAGCGCGCGUAGGUGGUUCGUUAAGUUGGAAGUGAAAGCCCCGGGAUUAACCUGGGAAUUGCUUUCAAAACUGACGAGCUAGAGUACGGUAGAGGGUAGUGGAAUUUCCUGUGUAGCGGUGAAAUGCGUAGAUAUAGGAAGGAACAUCAGUGGCGAAGGCGACUACCUGGACUGAUACUGACACUGAGGUGCGAAAGCGUGGGGAGCAAACAGG
rnacentral:rRNA from 1 species